AGGAAACAGCAUGAUAUGUUGAGGACAGCUACAGUUCACUGACUCUGUGUGUUUGCAUAUGUGUCCUUCCUCUCUGCUCCCAGCCUUUAAGAGGCCAGUGUUGAUCAGUGGCUGUCCAGGCCUUUCAGAGCCACUGACACGCCGGCAGCACAAUGAUGAUGUCACUGACUCUACUGCUGGCCACCCUGGGGCUCCUUGUUCAGGGUUCAUCAGGACAAAUCACCCUGACUCAGUCUCCUGGAACUCAGUCUGUUGUUCCAGGACAGACUGUCUCUAUCAGAUGUAAAACCAGUUCAAGUGUUGGUAGCAACCUCCACUGGUACCUUCAGAAACCUGGAGAAGCUCCUAAACUCCUGAUUUAUUUAGCUUCAAACCGUCAGUCUGGAGUUUCAAGUCGUUUCAGUGGAAGUGGAUCUGGUUCUGACUACACUCUGACCAUCAGUGGAGUUCAGGCUGAAGAUUCAGGAGUUUACUACUGUCAGCAGAGUAACAGCUUCCCGUUCACACAGUGAUACAACGUCGUACAAAAACCUCCCUCAGCUGGAGAGGAACUGAUCUGACUCAACAGCUGCACUGACACUAAAACAACAGAGGUUUCACUAAAAACAUACUUA